rnacentral:sRNA from 1 species
UUUUUUUUUCAGUGUGAGGGGCAUGGAAUGAGGUUUCACCAUGCUGCUCAGGCUGGUCUUGAACUCCUGGGCUCAACCUGCCUGCCUGCCUCAGGCCUUGCAGAGUGCUGCGAGUACAGGUGUAAGCCACCGUGGCUGGCCAAUCCUGGAGAAGUUCUUACCCCUCUGAGCCUCCACUUCCUCACCUCUAUGAUGGGCUAGUGGCUGCCCCCACCUGCAGGGUUGUGAGAAUUACAUGGAAUGAGACAUGCAUCAUGUCCUGGGUAGUGCUUGGCAGGUAGCCCUCGUUAUUGUUACAUAAUGAAGCAUUGAGCAGUUACUGAACACCUGCUGUGGGCCCAACACUGUGCUGGGCCUUGUGGAUGAGGCCAACCUGGGACCAGAACAGCCUUUGGCCUCAGGAGGCUCACAGUCUAAGGAGUAGAGGGGCACAUGUGAGGAUGACACCCCCGUACCCCACCCACACCCAGAAUUGCCGUGGAAAGUUUGCUUUGGGGGAUUCAGGGAGCCUGGCCUCACCUGGCCCUAUCUAGAGUUGAGAGGAGGUCUCUAGGCUGAGGGCAAUCCCUGUGCCCCUCCUGCAGGACAGCUAACCCCCGCAUCGGUGACGUGAUCCAGAAGCUGGCCCCCUUCCUGAAGAUGUACAGUGAGUAUGUCAAGAACUUUGAGCGAGCGGCUGAGCUGCUGGCCACCUGGACCGACAAGUCUCCACUCUUCCAGGAGGUUCUCACUCGCAUCCAGAGCAGCGAGGCUUCGGGCAGCCUGACCCUGCAGCACCACAUGCUGGAACCAGUGCAGAGAAUUCCACGUUACGAGCUGCUGCUCAAGGAGUACAUCCAGAAGCUGCCAGCCCAGGCCCCAGACCAGGCCGAUGCCCAGAAAGCCCUGGACAUGAUCUUCUCAGCUGCCCAGCACUCCAAUGCAGCCAUCACUGAGAUGGAGCGGCUGCAGGACCUGUGGGAGGUGUACCAGCGCCUGGGCCUCGAGGACGACAUAGUAGACCCCUCUAACACCCUGCUCCGUGAGGGCCCGGUCCUCAAGAUCUCCUUCCGCCGCAACGACCCCAUGGAGCGCUACCUUUUCUUGUUCAACAACAUGCUGCUCUACUGUGUGCCCAGGGUGAUCCAGGUGGGCGCCCAGUUCCAGGUGAGGACCCGCAUCGAUGUGGCCGGGAUGAAGGUGCGGGAGCUGAUGGAUGCUGAGUUUCCCCACUCCUUCCUGGUGUCCGGGAAGCAGCGCACCCUGGAGCUGCAAGCCCGGUCCCAGGAGGAAAUGAUUUCCUGGAUGCAGGCCUUCCAAGCAGCCAUUGACCAAAUCGAGAAGCGGAAUGAAACCUUCAAGGCUGCGGCCCAGGGGCCUGAGGGAGACACCCAGGAGCAGGAGCUGCAGUCUGAGGAGCUGGGCCUCCGGGCACCGCAGUGGGUCCGGGACAAGAUGGUGACCAUGUGCAUGCGCUGCCAGGAGCCCUUCAACGCUCUGACGCGCCGUCGCCACCACUGCCGGGCCUGCGGCUAUGUGGUGUGUGCCAGGUGCUCCGACUACCGGGCCGAACUGAAAUACGACGACAACAGGCCCAACCGAGUCUGCCUCCACUGCUACGCAUUCCUCACUGGAAAUGUGCUGCCUGAGGCCAAGGAGGACAAGAGGCGGGGCAUCCUGGAGAAAGGGUCCUCAGCCACGCCUGACCAGAGCCUGAUGUGCAGCUUCCUGCAGCUCAUCGGGGACAAGUGGGGCAAGAGCGGCCCCCGGGGCUGGUGUGUGAUCCCUCGGGAUGACCCCCUCGUGCUCUAUGUCUACGCUGCCCCUCAGGACAUGAGGGCUCACACCUCCAUCCCCCUGCUGGGCUACCAGGUGACUGUUGGGCCCCAGGGGGACCCUCGGGUCUUCCAGUUACAGCAGUCAGGCCAGCUCUACACCUUCAAGGCCGAGACGGAGGAGCUGAAGGGCCGCUGGGUGAAGGCCAUGGAGCGGGCGGCCAGUGGCUGGAGCCCCAGCUGGCCCAACGACGGGGACCUGUCCGACUGAGCCACUGCCAGCCGCUCUCCUGCCCACCUCUCCCCACCCUGAACCCAGCUCCUGCCACAGACUGACCCUGUGGCCUCAGUGACCCACUGCCCCAAGUGGUGCUUUCAGAGAAUUGAUUCAGCCAUCUGCGCCCAGGCCACGUGUCCCAAUCUGGGAUUAGAAAAUAUGGGUCCAUUCCUUUCUAGAAAGGGGACAACCAAGUGUCUCAGUUUGCCUUGUGGGGAGGGGGCUCCUGGGCCUUGGGACUUCCAGUGCUAAAACUAGGAAAGCCCCAGGUAACCCCGGACUGGUGGUCACCAUAGUGUGGUUUUUCAUUUGUAUCUCCUGGGGAGCUUUUAAAGAGUACUGGUGAAAAACACAUAGUAAAUUAAUUUUAAAAAUGUAAAAAACAAUGCCUGUACUGAAGUACCACCAACGAUUUAAAUGGUCUGAGUUGGGGGAGGCAUGGGGUCUUUUUUUUUUUUUUUUUUUUGAGACAGAGUCUUACUCUGUUUCCCAGGCUGGAGUGCACAAACAUGGCUCACUACAGCCUCGCUCUCCUGGGCUCCAGUGAUCCUCCCGCCUCAGCCUCCCAAGUAGCUGGGAUUAUAGGUGUGUGCCACUGUGCCAAGCUAAUUUUUUUAUUUUUUGUAGAGAUGGGAUUUCACCACGUUACUCAGGCUGGUCUCAAACUCCCAGCCUCAAGCGAUGCUCCCACCUCCACCUCCCAAAGUGCUGGGAUUACAGGCGUGAGCCACCAUACCUGGCGCAUGCAUAUUUUUUAAGAGUACCCACUGGAGUCUAAUAUAUAGCCUGGGUUACCUGGGAUGAAGAAUAAAGAGAGCAAACUACCACAACCAAUGGUUGAGCCCCUGUCAAGUGCCAGUCAUGAUAGUAGUAAUAAUAAUAAUAAACAUCUAUUGGGCCAGG